rnacentral:rRNA from 1 species
UACGUAGGGUGCAAGCGUUAAUCGGAAUUACUGGGCGUAAAGCGUGCGCAGGCGGUUUUGUAAGACAGAGGUGAAAUCCCCGGGCUCAACCUGGGAACUGCCUUUGUGACUGCAAGGCUUGAGUGCGGCAGAGGGGGAUGGAAUUCCGCGUGUAGCAGUGAAAUGCGUAGAUAUGCGGAGGAACACCGAUGGCGAGGGCAAUCCCCUGGGCCUGCACUGACGCUCAUGCACGAAAGCGUGGGGAGCAAACAGG